UGUUUCUUAAAUAAACGACAAAUGACAAAUGGGCUCUGUCCAGGUUUAGUGCCAUCAAGGUCUUCCUCUGUUGCACGAUACUCAUGGAUGACCCAAUGGGUUCUGGUACCACGAGGAGCUCGUCCAGUGUAGAAGACGAGAGUUUUCUUCAUUCCAAUCAAGUUGUUCCCAGACUUGAUUUUGCGAUCCUUUCCAGUUGCCUUCCAGUAGCCUUUCUCUGUAGCCCUGUUCAAUCUGUGCCCAUUCGGAUACUUGCGGUCAAGCGGACAGAAAAAGAACCAUUCUUGAUCAUUUGUCUUUAUGAUCGAUAAAUCAGGCAAAUCCCAGGGCUCCCAUUUACAGACAUCGAGUUCUCGAAUGACUCUGACAUCUUUAUCAUUUCCAUUAAUCUUCAAUCUCAAGUAAAAUUUCACCAAUUC
rnacentral:misc_RNA from 1 species